UACGUAGGGGCCUAGCGUUGUCCGGAUUUAUUGGGCGUAAAGAGCUCGUAGGCGGUUUGGUGAGUCGGGGGUGAAAUCUCCACGCUCAACGUGGAGGGGCCACCCGAUACUGCCAUGACUAGAGUCCGGUAGGGGAGUGUGGAAUUCCCGGUGUAGCGGUGAAAUGCGUAGAUAUUGGGAGGAACACCAGUGGCGAAGGCGGCUCACUGGACCGGAACUGACGCUGAGGCGCGAAAGCGUGGGGAGCAAACAGG
rnacentral:rRNA from 1 species